GUAAUGAUGGAACUAUGUUAGGUUGUACAUCCCUCAAAAAAGGAAGCUCCGUCAACAGUUAUGGCAGCUGAUGAAGUGACCCAGAAUGGACUUCCUUCCUUCGACUGGACUCCAUGAGGAACCAGAGUUUUGGUACCAGCAGCAGCCCCUUGCAUUCAUCUGCCUCCUCGGCAAGUGCAGACGAAUUUGGGAAAUAGUCCAAAUCUCUGGCUGCACAGAGGAGGGAAGACCAGAAUGAAUGAAUGAAUGCUUUCUCAGGAAACAGAUCUGAGAAAAGAGAACCUUGAAGGAGCUGUGAUCCCAGC